UACAGAGGGUGCAAGCGUUGUUCGGAAUUAUUGGGCGUAAAGCGCGUGUAGGCGGCCAAGCAAGUCGGGUGUGAAAGCCCUCAGCUUAACUGAGGAAGUGCGCCCGAAACUACGUGGCUUGAGUACCGGAGAGGGUGGCGGAAUUCCCGGUGUAGAGGUGAAAUGCGUAGAGAUCUGGAGGAAUACCGGUGGCGAAGGCGGCCCCCUGGACAAAGACUGACGCUCAGGUGCGAAAGCGUGGGGAGCAAACAGG
rnacentral:rRNA from 1 species